AGACUAGGAGGUUCCUCUAGGACCUUAAGGCCCUGGCUCCUUUCUGGUAUCUCACAGGACAUUUUCUUCCCACAGAUAGAAAAGGAGGGAGCUACACUCAGGCUGCAAGUAAGUAUGAAGGAGGCUGAUGCCUGAGGUCCUUGGGAUAUUGUGUUUGGGAGCCCAUGGGGGAGCUCACCCACCCCACAAUUCCUCCUCUAGCCAUAUCUUCUGUGGGAUCUGACCAGGUUCUGUUUUUGUUCUACCCCAGGCAGUGACAGUGCCCAGGGCUCUGAUGUGUCUCUCACAGCUUGUAAAGUGUGAGACAGCUGCCUUGUGUGGGACUGAGAGGCAAGAGUUGUUCCUGCCCUUCCCUUUGUGACUUGAAGAACCCUGACUUUGUUUCUGCAAAGGCACCUGCAUGUGUCUGUGUUCAUGUAGGCAUAAUGUGUGGAGGUGGGGAGACCACCCCACCCCCAUGUCCACCAUGACCCUCUUCCCACGCUGACCUGUGCUCCCUCCCCAAUCAUCUUUCCUGUUCCAGAGAGGUGGGGCUGAGGUGUCUCCAUCUCUGUCUCAACUUCAUGGUGCACUGAGCUGUAACUUCUUCCUUCCCUAUUAAAAUUAGAACCUGAGUAUAAAUUUACUUUCUCAAAUUCUUGCCAUGAGAGGUUGAUGAGUUAAUUAAAGGAGAAGAUUCCUAAAAUUUGAGAGACAAAAU
rnacentral:lncRNA from 1 species